AAACACCACCACCACCACCACCAAAGAUGAGAGCCAAGAACAGACGGAGAGUUUUAACAACGAAGACUUCCCUGACUUGCUUGAAAGCAUCGAUUUCGGCGAUCUUUUUGCGGGCAUCAAUGAUGGGGAUAUGUUGCCAGAUUUGGAGAUGGAUCCUGAAAUUCUUGCUGACUUCUCCGUUAGUGGUAGCGGCUCGGAAUCAGAGAUGAACAUAUCCGUGUCAAAUGAAAAAGUGGAGGAUAAUCCGAGAAAAGAUGAGGAAGAUAAGGUUUCGGGUUCUGGGUCGGGCUUGGAUUCGAGUUUGAGUACAAGGGGAGAGGAGAUUGUGAGCAAGAGAGAUGAAUCCGUAGUGGUUAAUCGAGUUUCUAAAGAAAGUGAUAAGGGAAGAAAAUCAACACCAGCCAAGAAUAAUCAAGGCAAGAGAAAAGUGAAGGUAAUAAGAAUUUCAGUUUAUUAUUAGGUUUUCUGUCUUAGUUUAAGUGUCAACAACAAACCGUUAAGUCAAGAUUAUUGUUAGGUCGUUAACUGUUUCAAUUAACAGAAAUUAAUAGCUUUAAAAUCAACCUCCCUCUCUACAUAUAGCAAUCUUUACCAAUUUUAAUGGGGACCAAAGAGUUCACGAGAAUCAUGUAAAUAUGUGAAUUAUCCAGAAGAGAAGACUCUGAUUAGGGCUGUGGAUCUCAACUACACGUGAAUAAAAAAAAAAAAGGAUUGAUUUGAGUUUUUUUGCACGCAGAGACGCCCAUACACAGAGAGGAUUCAAUGAUUUCUUUUUCCCAAGUGCUUGUUUUUUAGUGUGAUGAUGGAAAGAUACUCUUGAAUUGUGUGCAGGUGGAUUGGACGCCAGAGCUGCACAGGAGGUUCGUACAAGCAGUGGAGCAAUUGGGGGUGGAUAAGGCAGUGCCUUCGAGGAUUUUAGAGCUUAUGGGUAUUGACUGUCUCACUCGGCAUAAUAUCGCCAGCCAUCUCCAAGUACAUAUUCCUUAGCACAUGCUUCUAGCACUGUGUUUUUCUUUGGCAUGCAAUUUUUCAUUCCUUGUUUCUUUUAUAUCAGAGAGGCAUUUCUUUCUAACAGAAGAAAUCGCUAACGACUGAAUUGGUGUCUUCUUGUUACUUGUUUAAUAUGCAUUUGAUUUCCAAGAAAAAUGGACAAAUAUAUAGAAGUUAACAUUUGAUUUUAAUACUUGUACAUAAAAAUGCUUUUAGAUUAGAUGGUUUUUGUUAGAAGAUGCCCUUUGACAUAUUGCUAUUAUUAGAGUUGAAAAGAUAGGUAAAUUCCGCAAUCAAAGUGUGAAUCUUGCAAAUAUAUUAAACCGCAAUCAAAUGCAUUCAGGACUUGAAUUUGAAUAGAUAUAGAGAUUGAAAAAAAAUUGAAAAUUUCUAAAAAACGAUUGAGCUGUAAGCUUUUAUGUUAAUUACAGAAAAUUAUUUUUCACAUAUUGAAAUCAAAUCAAUUUUUUGAAUGAUUUUAAAAGUAUAUUUUUUAUAUUAGUUUGAUAUAUUUAGAAUAAAUAAUCAUGUGAUACUUUUUAAUAAUCUCUAAAACUUUAAUCGGUAAGAAAAGAUUUUAUUAUUACAAAUUAAACUAAACUCUAUUUAGUAAUGAGUUAUAAAAUUUAAAAUUUAAUCUCUUGCAUUAUUAGACAAAUAAAAUAUUAUUAAUUUACUAACCUAUUGGCUUAUGUAGAUUUUUUUUUCUUUAUGAGCAUUAAUUAUAUGAAACUUUAUUUGAAGAUAAAUAAAAUCUUGUCGAAUGUGUGCAGAAAUAUCGAUCUCACAGAAAACAUUUGCUAGCGAGAGAAGCUGAGGCAGCAACAUGGAGCCAUAGACGGCAAAUGUACGGAGCGGCUGGAGGCGGUGGCAAGAGGGACAUGAGCCCUUGGCAUGCACCCACAAUGGGGUUUCCUCCAAUAACACCUAUGCACCACCACCACUUUAGACCCUUGCAUGUGUGGGGUCAUCCUCCCAUGGAACAACCUUUAAUGCAAAUGUGGCCUAAACAUCCAGCUCACUCACCAUCGCCGCCGCCACCUACAUGGCCUCCUCCACCACCACCACCAGCAUUCGACCCUUCAUAUUGGCACCACCACAAUCAGCAACGGGUAAGCCCUUCUUCUCCAUCUGAUCUACGAAAAAAAGAAACAGAAGAAAGUAGCUGUUUUUAAACUGGCAUUAUUCUGUGUCGUCCGUGUAGGUUCCAAAUGGACUGAUUUCAGGGACGCCUUGCUUUCCACAGCCACUGGCACCAGCGGUAAAUAAUAAUUCCUUACUCUUUUGGACUCUUUAAUGGCGUUUGUUUCUUUAGUCUUGGAUCCUUGUAUAGCACUGCUAUUAUCUUGGAAUCUCUUUUUUUAUAUCUAAACCAAAUGGAUGCAUAUCUGCAGAGAUUUGCCACACCUCCUGUCACUGGUAUCCCACACCAUGCCAUGUACAAAGUAGACCCUGGCAUGGCAGUCCCAACUAGACAAUUAGCAUCAUCAGGUCCCCAUCCUCUCUUCGACUUUCAUCCGGUGAGCCUCCAUGCUUUCUUUUUCCUUUCUUAGUCCACUAAAUUUCAAACUCGAAAACCUUACAGCCCACCUAAUAUGUUAUUGUUACAACAGUCGAAGGAGAGCAUAGAUGCAGCUAUUGGAGAUGUUUUAUCAAAGCCAUGGCUGCCACUUCCUCUUGGGUUAAAACCACCGUCUCUAGAUAGUGUUUUAGGGCAGCUACAACGGCAAGGAGUGGCCAAGAUACCGCCCACUUGUGCUUGAAAUCAUCAGAGAACAUCCUUCCAAAGGCGGUUGUUCAUAUUGGUGAUUUCAAGAACCACUUAAAAAAUAUCUAAAUUUGACGACAUAUCCUGUGCGUUUGCCAAAUGUACAUGUAAUCUGCGAGCUUUUCUUCUUAACCUUCGCCUCUUUCUUCCCUCUUAGCUAAAACUGAGAAUUGUUUUCUUGUUCUUGCAGCAAGAAUAGGCUUCGUGCAUUAGGCUACCUAAGUUUUGUAAU
rnacentral:misc_RNA from 1 species